CUGGCUCCAUCUCAGGCUUUGCUCUCUAGUGAAUUGUCCUUCUUACUCUUCCUGGAGCAAAGGCCUGCAACGAGUCAUUUGCAUGGAUGCUUCCAAAGCAAGGUCCAGGCCUCAACAUCAUGCAGAGAACAUUGCAUCAUCCAGAGGCCAGCAUUGGAGCCUCCUGGAUAACUGCAGAAAUCACACCAAAAUGCCUAUCAACUCCCUCCCACCUCCCCGGGCGCCCUGUGAUCUUAUUUCGAGCAUUUUACAACGUACAUGUGCAGAGUUGGGCUUUAUUACAGACCAGUGAUACCAGGUACCAAAAUCUGAAAACUACACUGGGUUUAGUUCUGGAGACCCUGGUGAUCCCUUCCUUCCAAUCAAUUGAUCUUCCUUCUGUGGAAGAAUUGAAUAGAGAACUUUCCAUGAAGGUGAAACGUCAUCCUUUGAUCUCCAAUCCAUCCACUAUGCACCUGGACUGGACUAGCCUCAGGACACCAAGAUGGGACCUGAUUCCAGCAUUCAAGCAACUCCAUGUCUGUACAUACAAAACAUGAUUAAAAGGCAAUCAAAUAAAGACCACCGCCCCUUCUUCC
ensembl:lncRNA